rnacentral:rRNA from 1 species
CCUACGGGGGGCAGCAGUAAGGAAUAUUGGACAAUGGCCGCAAGGCUGAUCCAGCCAUCCAGCGUGCAGGAAGAAGGCCCUACGGGUUGUAAACUGCUUUUGUCAGGGAAGAAACCCUUGGAUUGACUCCGAGGCUGACGGUACCUGAAGAAUAAGCACCGGCUAACUCCGUGCCAGCAGCCGCGGUAAUACGGAGGGUGCGAGCGUUAUCCGGAAUUACUGGGUUUAAAGGGUGCGUAGGCGGCUUGGUAAGUCAGGAGUGAAAGUUUGCGGCUCAACCGUAAAAUUGCUUUUGAUACUGCCAGGCUAGAAUCAGGAUGAGGUCAGCGGAAUGUGGCAUGUAGCGGUGAAAUGCAUAGAUAUGCCAUAGAACACCUAUUGCGAAGGCAGCUGGCUAGACCUGUAUUGACGCUGAGGCACGAAAGCGUGGGGAGCGAAC